GACGAACGCUGGCGGCGUGCUUAACACAUGCAAGUCGAACGGUGAAGGGACCGGUUUUUGCUGGUUCUGGAUGAGUGGCGAACGGGUGAGUAACACGUGAGUAACCUGCCCCCUUCUUCUGGAUAACCGCAUGAAAGUGUGGCUAAUACGGGAUAUUCUGCGCCUGCUGCAUGGUGGGUGUGGGAAAGAUAUUGUUUCGGUUGGGGAUGGGCUCGCGGCCUAUCAGCUUGUUGGUGGGGUGAUGGCCUACCAAGGCGGUGACGGGUAGCCGGCCUGAGGGGGUGGACGGUCACACUGGGACUGAGACACGGCCCAGACUCCUACGGGAGGCAGCAGUGGGGAAUAUUGCACAAUGGGCGCAAGCCUGAUGCAGCGACGCCGCGUGAGGGAUGGAGGCCUUCGGGUUGUAAACCUCUUUCGCCAGUGAAGCAGGCCUGUCCCUUUUGUGGGUGGGUUGACGGUAGCUGGAGAAGAAGCGCCGGCUAGCUACGUG
rnacentral:rRNA from 1 species